rnacentral:tRNA from 1 species
GGAGAGAUGUCGGAGUGGCUUAUCGUGCAUGACUCGAAAUCAUGUGUGCGGCUAAAGUCGUACCGAGGGUUCAAAUCCCUCUCUCUCCGCCA